UUGGAGGGCAAGUCUGGUGCCAGCAGCCGCGGUAAUUCCAGCUCCAAUAGCGUAUAUUAAAGUUGUUGCAGUUAAAAAGCUCGUAGUUGAAUUUCGGGAUCAGAUUGUCGGUCGUGCCUCGGUACGUACUGGCAUUAUUGGUUCCUACCUUCUGAAGAAUCGCGAUGUCAUUAAUUUGGUGUCGUGGGGAAUCAGGACUGUUACUUUGAAAAAAUUAGAGUGUUUAAAGCAGGC
rnacentral:rRNA from 1 species